rnacentral:tRNA from 1 species
UAGCUUGUUUGGUAGAGCGUCUGCCUUGUAAGCGCUAGGCCGCGGGUUCGAUUCCCGC